rnacentral:misc_RNA from 1 species
GGAAAUAUACCCCACAAUUUUUAAAACCAAAUCCCUCUCUUCCAAUAUAGCCCGAUUCCCAAACAACAAAAGAGUAAAAAAAAAUGAAAAAAAACAAAAAUUAAGCAGACAAAAAGGUUCUUGGAUAUAGAAUAGAUGAAUGUAGGGUGAGGAGAACUUUCAAAGAUGAUGCUGCCAGUUACCUUGGUUGUGGUCUAGCAGCUGGGAAUGACAGAGCUUGCCGGAGUUUUCGAUGAGAUGAUGGGUUCCCUAACAACAUAGUCUGAGACCGAGUUACCAUAUCAACCAUGGAUGGGGUUUGGUAAGCUUGCACAAGGCUUGUACUAUCAGUGGAAUCACCUCGUGCAGUUGCUCU